AAAAUGGUCCACAGGACAGGUCUGGGUCACUGGCAGUGCAGCUGAUGAAAGAUCUUCGAUGGCACAAGUUAUUUUAUGUCCAGUGAUGCUGGAUCAAGUCUCUCCUUCUGACUCGGAACUUAAUCUUGGGAAACAUUUUAGUUCUGCGUUGGCUUCCACAAUGAUAAAAUGGGCAUUUGGCAAAGCAAAGCUCCCGGCUCAUGUUACUGAAGGUUUAAAUCUGUAUAGAAAGCUAUGUUAUUUGUGGAACUUGCCCAAAUGUUUCUGGGCGUAAUCCUCCAACAUAUCCUGCUGUGAUUCAGACGGGAGAGAUUUUGGAUGGAACUGGUCGGUUAUCUGGCUCGUGUCGCAAUUUCUUAGACUUGAGACCUCACUGAUGAGGCCUAAUGUUUUCUUAUGUGCUAAUGAGGAUAUUUAGUCGAGCGAAUAGCCGUGUGGUUCAAUCUCGGUAGAGCUGCUCUGAUCUUACUGGCUUUGUUAUGGUGUGUAUGCUGGUAAUGCAGCAGGUUCAAGGACUGUUGAUAUGAUGGAUUGGGUUAUCAGUGUCCUACAGAAGCAUGAGCUCCUGUCAGGUGCCUUUUGAUGUUCGACAGCUCGAAUCUCCUUCGCCGUGCUUUGAUGAUCCACUCUAAAUCCAGAUGAAUCAACAUGGCACGAUAUCCUUGCCUGUUUAAGACUGAUGACUUAUCCUCGAUCGGUCUAGAUGAGACAGAUGUUAUCUGAUUUGAACUGCAUCAGCUUCGGUCUCAAUUGUUCAUCUGGAGGACGCUGUACAGACUGCUUCAAAAUCAAGGUGCUCUGCCAUCUAGACUUGUGUACAGAGAUAUAAAGGCAAAAGAUGUGACUCACAUAAGUGAUAAAUGUGGAACAUCCACAAGACAACCACAUUUUGCUUGGGUACAACUUUCCAGAGGACAGUUUAAACCGCAAGAGUCGGCAGAAGUGUGCCGUGGAGGUCAGUGCUGCUUCCUGAAUCCAACAGAAGGCCGUCUUCAGUUUGGGCUGUGAUGGAGAACAAUAAACGAGCUCACCACAGACAGCGUAGUACACACUAACCCAAUAUCUUUAGUCCCUCAUUUGAAUGGUAGAACCUCAUAUAUUGUAACCUUGACACAGUUUCUACCUCUCUGACACAGUUUCCCCUCCAUAAUAAUCUCCUUCUCCUUUCUUGCCUCCUUCCCUCCUCCCAAACGUCCACAUUCCCAGAGCCCAGAAGUGCUGAGUGCUGUUGUUUGCUCUACACACAGAUUUUUUUUUUUUGCUGAGCGUGUAAGCUGUCCCCAAACAUCUGUUCCCGAGAGUCAUGUAAAGCAGAGGAGAAACAAGGGCUCUGAGACACACAUGUACAUGCUCAUCCCAUCAUGGGUGUUGCAUCUACUUCUUUGUGCAGCCAUUGACAACAAACAAGUGAGUCUUUAUUUUAGAAUGCAGAGAAAGAGAUAAAGCAUCAGGAUGAAAACAAGAGUGAUAAAGAGAUAGCGAGAGUGUUGGGGAACACUGUGCCGCUUAGCAAUAAGCCUUUAUUUGGGGAAGCAUCCAUUACAUUUAGGUACUGCAGUGAAAUACGGAAAGGCUGUUAUAGAAGCAGUGGCAUAUCCCUAGCUCAUGUUGAUAUUACUUUUAAUUUACAUGAAAACAUCUUAUCUAAUGCUACCAGAUACAAUUUUGUUCAAGAAGAAAACAGACAGAAAUGUUUGAUUUGGGAAACUUCCCUCCUCACAAGUGCACUGAAAGGUUUGACACUAAAACAAAAUACAUAAAUAGAAAAUAUCUAAAUACAAUUUUAUAUAUAUAUAUAUAUAUAUAUAUAUAUAUAUAUAUAUAUAUAUAUAUAUAUAUAUAUAUGCAGUAUUACACAUUCAUAUAUAUAUGAAUGUGAACUAUUUAAAAGAUUAGACCUUAUGUAUAAAAACAACCUCAAACCAAAGCUCUAAUAAAUAUGCAUCUGCACUUGUUGUGUUUUAUUGUAGUUCUGACAUACUGUAGUACCUAGGUUCAUAUAGGUUUCAUUUAUUUGCUUUUUUUAUAGUAAUUUAUAGUAUUUACAGUAGUUUUAGGAACAUAGACUGUAGUAUUAAUUGCUCUGCCCUUUGUUUAUUGCUGGAGUUUGACAAUGUAUAUUUUAUGCAGGCAAAAUUUAACCACAUUAAUCCACUCUGUACUGUUUUAUGUGUACACAGGCUCAAAGUUCUGGACAGUGACCUUAAUCUUAAUUGCUCCAGCUGGAUAAUGAACUUUCCUUUCCUUCUUGGUGAAAAAUUAUAUGCAUAUUCCUUAAAUAUAUAAAGAUAUGAACAAGGCAUAUUAGAUUAUAGUGAAUUGAGAAUUGACUAAGAAUUAGUGCACCUAUAAUCUUUUAUAUGCAUAAUAAUAUUGAUGUAGUAGGCGAUGGUGAAAUUGAGACAUUUUUUAUAGGAAAUGACAUUACAAAGUUGUGAAUGGCUUUAAUAUUGUACUUCUAAUCUUUUAACAUAGAUUUGGAUUGAGCUGGAUUGCAAACUUAAAAAAACUAAACGAUUAAACAAUAUUGUGUAUUCUGUUAUUAAGCUGCUUAAUAACAAUGAGCUAUUAUUAUUAUUAUUAUUAUUAUUAUUAUUAUUAUUAUUAUUAUUAUUAUUAUUGUUGUUGUUGUUUUUGUAUUGUUGUUGGUGUUGCUACUUUUUAUUAUCAUCACAAUUGUUUGUGUGUGUGUUUGGAUAAAAUUAAAUAUAUUAUGA